CAUCUCUUCCUCUUUGGCCAAGCACAGUCGGCACAGCUCGUUUACGUGAAUAAUAACAUUACUUGGGCUAUCACCCUUCUUUCUGCUGAUAUAUUAACGAGAUGUUUAGUAACAGUAACACUGUGCACUGCAGCUCCAACCUCCAACUCGGUCACAACGGAAUCUAUAAUGGCAGCCGUAGUGGCCACUUUAACGUUCACAAUAUGGCGGAGCGUCGUUCUCCUUCUUUGUCAGAAUUUAUAAGACCGAGAGAGAGCGCUGCGAGAGGCAACAACGAUCCCGCGGAAAUAACGUGGCAACAUGGUCGAUACUAGCGUCUCUAUCGGAAAUGUCGAUAAUAGCGAGAAUAUUAUGCUUAAUUUCCGAGUUUUUUCUUUUUUUUUCUUUAUUGCCCGGCUGGAAAAAUUUUAAAGUUUAGGUAUUUUCGAGUGGACUGAAAGAAUAAAUUAGGAAUAAUUUUUAUUACUGGAAAUUUAAAAAUUGUCAAAGGUA